GCGGCACGCCUAACACAUGCAAGUCGAACGAAGUAGCAAUACUUAGUGGCAGACGGGUGAGUAACAUGUAGGUAUCUACCCUUUGGCCUGGAAUAACACGAGGAAACUUGUGCUAAUACCGGAUAAGUCUUCACGGAGAAAGCUUUAUGCACCAUUGGAUGAGCCUGCACUUGAUUAGUUAGUUGGUAGGGUAAUGGCCUACCAAGACUUUGAUCAAUAGCUGAUUUGAGAGGAUGAUCAGCCACAUUGGGACUGAGACACGGCCCAAACUCCUACGGGAGGCAGCAGUGGGGAAUCUUGCACAAUGGAGGAAACUCUGAUGCAGCGAUGCCGCGUGAGUGAAGAAGGCCUUUGGGUUGUAAAGCUCUUUCGUCGGGGAAGAAAAUGACUGUACCCGAAUAAGAAGGUCCGGCUAACUUCGUGCCAGCAGCCGCGGUAAUACGAAGGGACCUAGCGUAGUUCGGAAUUACUGGGCUUAAAGAGUUCGUAGGUGGUUGAAAAAGUUGGUGGUGAAAUCCCAGAGCUUAACUCUGGAACUGCCAUCAAAACUUUUCAGCUAGAGUUUGAUAGAGGAAAGCAGAAUUUCUAGUGUAGAGGUGAAAUUCGUAGAUAUUAGAAAGAAUACCGAUUGCGAAGGCAGCUUUCUGGAUCAUUACUGACACUGAGGAACGAAAGCAUGGGUAGCGAAGAGGAUUAGAUACCCUCGUAGUCCAUGCCGUAAACGAUGUGUGUUAGACGUUGGAAAUUUAUUUUCUGUGUCGCAGCGAAAGCGAUAAACACACCGCCUGGGGAGUACG
rnacentral:rRNA from 1 species